AAUUAAAAAGUGUUCGUUUCAUUCAGCUUCGUCCGGCUUCGUUUCUCGAUCUUGUAUUUUCAUCGUUAUUCGUUGGUUGUGUUUUAAGAACUCGAUAUCGACGCUAUCCUAACUUUGAUGAGCGAAUGGAUUGGGGAAGUAUUUGCUGAGUAAGUAAAUAAUUCAUUUGACAGAGACUUAGUACUGGAAAAGGAGUUCUUGCAAGGUUAGCACUAAUUAUUUCAUCGAUAUGCAGUCUAUGCAAUCUCUGGGACGUCACGUGGCAGGUUGCAAUGUCAUCUUUUUUCCCUUUUCUUUCGGACGGUACGUAGGGGAAAGAAGAGUAAUUUAUUUUUCUAGCUUUCAUUGGCUAUUCGCAGCUUUUGCAGCUCAUUGUGACCUGGAACUUGUCCGUUAAGUCGCAGAUGAUUCCUGGCAUCUAUCUGGAGAAAAAGCGAAUAACUGACGUUUAUGUUAAUCAUCCCAGACCAUAAUGAUAUCCUACGAAAUUCAAGCCUCGAUGAUUUGCCCUUUAGUGUCUUAUGUUAUAGUUUCCUCUAAGCAAAUUGCAAGUGUUCCGAAUGCUUUAAUAAGAUAACGAUUUACAAAAAUCUGCAUUCUCAUCGAGUAAUUAAUUACAUAACACCAAGUGCAUCAUCGUAUUUACAUUACUCGUUACAAAACACGGCCAGUUAAUCAUAUUUAUGCAAAUGUUAUUAAUAUGCUAUUAAUAUUCAUUUUUUUUCACAGCAAGAUCGAUAUCGAUUACUGUCCCUCUACUAACACAAAGUGCCAGCAUCAGACUUUGAUAAACAGAAAAUAAGAGAACGACUGAGUUUUGUGUAACCUUUACUAUUCUCUUUCAAAUACAAAAUCGAUGUACAGUGAAAAUUUUAAAUAGAAGUACACA